rnacentral:misc_RNA from 1 species
UCCCGGUUAACCCGGGCAGUCUCUCUAGAGUGCCCAACUUAAUGCUGGCAACUAAAGAUAGGGGUUGCGCUCGUUGCGAGACUUAACCCAACAUUUCACAACACGAGCUGACGACAGCCAUGCAGCACCUGUCACCUCAUUCCCUUGCGGGCACUCCGGAAAUUACUCCAGAUUCGAGGGAUUUCAAGCCUAGGUAAGGUUCUGCGCGUUGCUUCGAAUUAAACCACAUAAUCCACCGCUUGUGCGGGCCCCCGUCAAUUCCUUUGAGUUUUAGUCUUGCGACCGUACUUCCCAGGCGGAGUACUUAAUGCGUUAGCUGCGCCACUGAAGGAGUCAAUACCUCCAAUAGCUAGUACUCAUCGUUUACGGCGUGGACUAC